rnacentral:rRNA from 1 species
GACGGCCUUCGGGUUGUAAACCUCUUUCAGCACAGACGAAGCGCAAGUGACGGUAUGUGCAGAAGAAGGACCGGCCAACUACGUGCCAGCAGCCGCGGUAAUACGUAGGGUCCGAGCGUUGUCCGGAAUUACUGGGCGUAAAGAGCUCGUAGGUGGUUUGUCGCGUUGUUCGUGAAAACUCACAGCUCAACUGUGGGCGUGCGGGCGAUACGGGCAGACUAGAGUACUGCAGGGGAGACUGGAAUUCCUGGUGUAGCGGUGGAAUGCGCAGAUAUCAGGAGGAACACCGGUGGCGAAGGCGGGUCUCUGGUCAGUAACUGACGCUCAGGAGCGAAAGCGUGGGGAGCGAACAGGAUUAGAUACCCUGGUAGUCCACGCCGUACACGGUGGGUACUAGGUGUGGGUUUCCUUCCUUGGGAUCCGUGCCGUACCUCCGCAUUAAGUACCCCGCCUGGGGAGUACGGCCGCAAGGCUAAUACUCACAGAAAUUGACGGGGGCCCGCACAAGCGGCGGAGCAUGUGGAUUAAUUCAAUGCAACGCGAAGAACCUUACCUGGGUUUGACAUGCACAGGACGUGCCUAUGAGAUAGGUAUUC